rnacentral:rRNA from 1 species
GACGAACGCUGGCGGCGUGCUUAACGCAUGCAAGUCGAACGGAAAGGCCCUGCUUUUGUGGGGUGCUCGAGUGGCGAACGGGUGAGUAACACGUGAGUAACCUGCCCUUGACUUUGGGAUAACUUCAGGAAACUGGGGCUAAUACCGGAUAGGAGCUCCUGCUGCAUGGUGGGGGUUGGAAAGUUUCGGCGGUUGGGGAUGGACUCGCGGCUUAUCAGCUUGUUGGUGGGGUAGUGGCUUACCAAGGCUUUGACGGGUAGCCGGCCUGAGAGGGUGACCGGCCACAAUGGGACUGAGAUACAGCCCAGACUCCUACGGGAGGCAGCAGUGGGGAAUAUUGCACAAUGGGCGGAAGCCUGAUGCAGCAACGCCGCGUGCGGGAUGACGGCCUUCGGGGUGUAAACCGCUUUAGCCUGUGACGAAGCGUGAGUGACGGUAAUGGGUAAAGAAGCACCGGCUAACUACGUG